AUGGAGAAUCUUCCCUUUCCUCUAAAAUUACUUAGUGCCUCAUCACUAAACACCCCCAGCUCCACACCAUGGGUGUUGGAUAUCUUCCUCACCUUGGUGUUUGCCCUGGGGUUCUUCUUCCUAUUACUCCCCUACUUCUCUUACCUCCGUUGUGAUGACCCACCCUCACCAUCGCCUGGGAAGAGAAAGUGUCCAGUAGGGCAGAGGGGGAGGCCCAGAGGCAGGAUGAAAAACCACAGUCUGAGAGCUUGUAGAGAGUGCCCGAGAGGCCUGGAGGAGACUUGGGACCUGCUUUCACAACUGCAGAGCCUCCUGGGGACACACCUUGACAAAGGUGACUUUGGUCAGCUCUCUGGUCCAGAACCCCCAGGUGAGGUGGGCAAAAGAGCACCUGAUGGAGCCUCCCGGUCCUCUCUUGAGCCUAUGGAAGAUGCUGCUCCCAUUAUCUACCUGUUAGCUUCCCCAGAUCCUCGAAUCAAGCAUCCUCAGGAUCUGGCCUCCACCCCAUCACCAGGCCCAAUGACCACCUCAGUCUCCUCCCUAAGUGCCUCCCAGCCACCAGAACCUUCCCUUCUCCUAGAACGCCCCUCACCCAAGCCACCUGCACUUUUCCUCACCCACCACACACCCCUGAUCCUCUGGCCUGCUCUCCUCCUCCUCCAAAAGACUUCACUGCUCCUCCCCUGUGGGACUCCACUCUGAUAACUCCAUUUCACUGUGACUCAGUGGCACUUCCACUGGGCACCGUCCCUCAAAGCUUGUCUCCACAUGAGGAUUUGGCGGCUUCUGUCCCAGCCAUCUCAGGCCUUGGCAGCUCAAACAGUCAAGUUUCUGCCUUCUCCUGGUGGCAGGAGACUACCAGAACCUGGUGCAUCUUCAAUUCAUCAGUCUAGCAAGAUCAUCUUUCCCGCCACCCACCAGAGACCUGUCAGAUGGAAGCUGGUAGCCCAUUUUUGCUCAGCUCUGAUGGCCAGAAUGUCGUGGGGAUACAAGUCACAGAAAGAGCCAAGGUCAACAUUUGGGAAGAAAAAGAAAAUGAUGGAUCAUUUACAAACCAAAUGACCCCAGAAAAGCACUUAAAUUCUUUGGGGAAUUUGGUUAAAUCAUUGGAUGCUGAGCAGGACACCACAACCCCAAAAUCCUUCUGGAACAAGGGAGAGAACUUGAAAGAGCUGCCCAGUCCUCAGAAGUUCUCAGAUCUUAGGCUUUUGCAGGAAAGUUUUCAGAAGAAUUACAGCCAGCUUUUCUGGGGCCUCCCCUCUCGGCACAGAGAAUCCCUGGUGGCUAAUGCCUGGGUCACUGACCGGUCUUGCACUUUGCAGUCUCCUCCUUUCUUCAAUCAAAUUUCCAAUGUCUGCCCAAUUCAAAGGGAGACUACAAUGUCCCCACUGCUUUUCCAGGCCCAGCCCCUGUCCCAUCUGGGGCCUGAGUCCCAACCCUUUAUUUCAUCCACACCCCAAUUCUGGCCCACACCUAUGGCUCAGGCUGAGGCUCAGGCCCAUCUUCAAUCCUCUUUCCCAGUCCCAUCUCCUACUUUUCCAUCCCCGAUUAAGAACACUGGAGUAGCUUGCCCUGUGUCACAAAAUAAAGUGCAAGCUCUCUCCCUAUCUGAAACUCAGCACCCUGAAUGGCCUUUGUUGAGGAAGCAACUAGAAGGUGGGUUGGCUUUACCCUCUAGGGUCCAAAAAUCUCAGGACGUCUUUAGUGUCUCCACUCCUAACCUUCCCCAGGAAAGCUUGACAUCCAUUCUGCCUGAGAACUUUCCAGUCAGUCCUGAACUCUGGAGACAACUGGAGCAACACAUGGGGCAACCUGGAAGGAUCCAAGAGUCUCUGGAUCUGAUGCAGCUUCAGGAUGAAUCUCCAGGGACAAGUCAGGCCAAGGGCAAGCCCAGGCCCUGGCAGUCCUCCAUGUCCACAGGUGAAAGCAGCAAGGAGACACAGAAGGUGAAGCUCCAGCUAGAGAGGGACCCGUGCCCACAUCUGGGGCAAAUUCUGGGUGAGACCCCACAAAAUCUAUCCAGGGGCAUGGAAAGCUUCCCAGGGAAGGUUCUGGGGGCGACCUCUGAGGAGUCGGAAAGGAACUUGAGGAAGCCCUUGAGGAGUGACUCGGGAAGUGAUUUAUUAAGAUGCACAGAGAGGAAUCAUAUAGAAAACACCCUGAAAGCCCACAUGGGCAGGAAGUUGGGCCAGAUCAACAAGGGCUUGAUCCCCGUGAUGUGCGUCGAUCCUGGCUUGCUGUCAACCAGGCUUUUCCCAUGUCCAACAUCCACGUGAAAACCAACAAUCUAGCUCCCCUGAAAAGUGGGAAAGCCUGUGUGAACACAGUGCAGGUGCUUUCCUUCCUUGAGCCGUGUACUCAGCAGGUGCUGGGAGCCCAUAUUGUGAGGUUUUGGGCCAAACACAGGUGGGGUCUACCCCUCAGGGUCCUCAAGCCUAUUCAGUGCCUUAAACUGGAAAAGAUUUUGUCCUUGUGCAGUACACAGCUUGCUGGUCCCUCCUCAGCCACCUGUGAACCUGGGGCUGGCUCAAAAGUUGAGGUGGCCACGUUCCUUAGAGAGCCACCAAUGCCAAGUCUGAGAAAGCAGGUGCUGACCAAAGCAUCUGUUCAUAUGCCAGAGAGUCUUCAGGCCUCCUCAUCUGCAUGUAAGCAGUUCCAGAGGGCCCCAUGAGGGAUCCCAUCUUGGAAUGAUCAUGGGUCCUUGAAGGCUCCUACAGCUGGACAGGAGGGCAGGUGGCCAUCUAAGCCCCUCACAUACAGCCUCACAGGCAGCACCCAGCAGAGCAGGAGCUUAGGAGCCCAAUCUUCAAGGGCUGGAGAGACCAGGGAGGCAGAGCCACAACCCAGAGUCCCCUUGGCAACCUGUAUGAUGGCAAACCUCCAAGCCACAAGUGAGGAUGUCCAUGGUUUCGAGGCUCCAGGGGCCAGCAAAAGCUCUCUACUCCCUAGAAUGUCUGUCUCCCAAGAUCCAAGAAAGCUGUGUCUUAUGGAGGAGGUUGUUAGUGAAUUUGAGCCUGGAAUGGCCAUGAAGUCAGAGACCCAGCCUCAAGUUUCUGCCGCUGUUGUGCUCCUUCCAGAUGGGCAAGCAUCUGUUCUGCCCCAUGCUUCAGAGAAUUUGGCUUCUCAAGUGCCCCAGGGCCAUCUCCAGAGCAUGCCUACUGGGAACAUGCAGGCUUCCCAGGGGCUAUGUGACCUCAUGGCAGCCAGAAGGAGCAACCUGAGGCACAAGGAGCCCAGGAACCCAAACUGUCAAGGCUCAUGCAAGAGCCAAAGCCCAAUGUUUCUCCCUACUCACAAGAGGGAGAACUCUAGGAAGCCCAACUUAGAAAAACAUGAAGAAAUGUAUCAAGGAUUGAGGACGCCUCAACUUACCCCAGGCAGGAAGACAGAAGACACCCGUCAGAAUGAAGGCAUCCAGCUACUGCCAUCAAAGAAACAGCCUCCUUCAAUAAGCCACUUUGGAGAAAACAUCAAGCAACUUUUUCAGAGGGUUUUUUUCAAAGAAAAAAAGGAAGCCAGCACCAGUCACUGCCGAGAGCCAUAAAACAGUAAAAAACAGAUCAUGCGUGUACUGCAGCAGUGCUGAAGUGCAGGAGCUCAUGACAUCAGUUGGACAGAUGCUGGAGGAGAAAAUGUCACUUUGCCGUGAGUGCCAUGCCUCGAAGGUAAAUCAGCAAAGACAGCAGUUUCAAGCCCCAGUCUGUGGGUUUCCCUGCAACCACAGGCACCCCUUCUACUCAGAACACAGCAGAAUGCUGAACUAUGCAGCCAGCAGUCAACAAGCCACUCCCAAGAGCCAGAGUUGUCCCAACAGAGACAGGCAAAGCAGAGAUCAGCAGCCCUUGAAAAGUGUCCGGUGCAACAAUGAGCAAUGGGGCCUGUGACAUCCCCAACUCUUGCUCCCCAAGAAAGCUGUAUCCCCAGUCAGUCCCCCUCAGCAUGGGCCAAAAAUACCUGGUGCCUCCAGCCACCAUCACCACUGUCCAAGGCACUGUCUUCUUCGGGGAGGUAUCUAA
rnacentral:lncRNA from 1 species